rnacentral:rRNA from 1 species
UGAAUACGAGAUGCUACGGCGUCGAAGCAGUCUAUGUCAUACUUCCAAGAAAAGCUCGCACUGUCAUAAACAAAUAAUGCCUGUACCAUAACCGACACAGGUGGGUAGGUAGAGUAUACUAAGGGGCGCGAGAUAACUCUCUCUAAGGAACUCGGCAAAAUGACUCCGUAACUUCGGGAGAAGGAGUGCCUUAUUUAUAAGGUUGCAAUAACAAGAUCCAAGCAACUGUUUAUCAAAAACACAGGUCUCCGCUAAGUCGUAAGACGAUGUAUGGGGGCUGACGCCUGCCCAGUGCCAGAAGGUUAAAGAAGUUGGUUAGCAUUCGCGAAGCUGAUAACUGAAGCCCUGGUGAACGGCGGCCGUAACUAUAACGGUCCUAAGGUAGCGAAAUUCCUUGUCGGGUAAGUUCCGACCCGCACGAAAGGCGUAAUGAUUUGGAUACUGUCUCGGAGAGGGGCUCGGUGAAAUAGACUUGUCUGUGAAGAUGCGGACUACCUGCACCAGGACAGAAAGACCCUAUGAAGCUUUACUGUAACUUGAGAUUGAAAUUGGACUUUACUUGCGCAGUAUAGGUGGGAGGCGUUGAUAAUAUUCUUGCGGGAUUAUUUGAGCCAUCAGUGAGAUACCACUCUUGUAAUGUUAGAUUUCUAACUUUGUAUCAUUAUCUGGUCAAAGGACAGUUUCAGGCGGGCAGUUUGACUGGGGCGGUCGCCUCCUAAACGGUAACGGAGGCGCACAAAGGUUUCCUCUGAACGGGUAGAAAUCGUAUCUAGAGUGUAAAGGCAUAAGGAAGCUUGACUGUGAGACCUACAAGUCGAGCAGGGACGAAAGUCGGUCUUAGUGAUCUGACGGUGCUGAGUGGAAAGGCCGUCACUCAACGGAUAAAAGUUACUCUAAGGAUAACAGGCUGAUCUCCCCCAAGAGUUCACAUCGACGGGGAGGUUUGGCACCUCGAUGUCGGCUCAUCGCAUCCUGGGGCGGUAGUACGUCCCAAGGGUUGGGCUGUUCGCCCAUGAAAGCGGUACGCGAGCUGGGUUCAGAACGUCGUGAGACAGUUCGGUCCAUAUCCGGUGUAGGCGUUAGAAUAUUGAGAGGAGCCUUCUUUAGUACGAGAGGACCGAGAAGGACAUACCUCUGGUGUACCAGUUAUCGUGCCAACGGUAAACGCUGGGUAGCUAUGUAUGGAGUGGAUAACCGCUGAAAGCAUCUAAGUGGGAAGCCCACCUCAAGAUAAG